rnacentral:rRNA from 1 species
AACGACUCUCGGCAACGGAUAUCUCGGCUCUCGCAUCGAUGAAGAACGUAGYGAAAUGCGAUACUUGGUGUGAAUUGCAGGAUCCCGCGAACCAUCGAGU